CCCUUAUCUCCUUGGGUUUCAAAUUUUGAAUUAGAACUAAUUCAAAAUUAAAUUUAAAUUUGAUUUAGAAUUAUUUUGAAUUGCAUUCCUCUUAGCUUGGGGCAUUGGAACUAAAUUUGUGUGACAAAAAUAAAAAGGGGGUGUGAGGUUUGGCAUUGAAGAUCUUUUCUGUUUAUGAGUUUUGGAAAGUCUUCUUCCCAAGUGUCCUAAACUCCAUUCCCUCUUUGCUUCCUUUCUAAAUCAGUGACACCCUGAGAUCUUCAUCCUCCUUUUUCUUCAAAGCAUGGCACACAUGUGAAAUAGAAGAGCUGCACCAGCAGCUCUAGCAAAGUAGCUUCUUGCAACCCGGAUCAGUUUCUUUAGCCACA
rnacentral:lncRNA from 1 species